CACACACACACACACACACACACACACACACCCCCACGGACACGGACUGAACAAGGCCAAACCACAACCAACAGGUGACUAAGGACGGAACAACCACCUCCACCACCUCCACCACUAACAAGUCCCGCCGCUCCGCCCGCCGCUCCGCACCGCCGCCGCGCCCCGACCCCACCCCGAAGCCUCCCGUGGAACCCAUCAGGCCGGCGCAGUUUCUGGCUUGGCGAAAGGAGAAGAAGAAGAUCGAGGGUGUCCUGGCGCGGCGGAAGAAGUCCAUCGACACACUCCAUCUCCUCAAGGACGACCUACUACGACUCCAGCAGCAAGAUGACGAGGACUUAUUCGAGGACCACCUCCCUCCACCUCCUCCACCUUACAUCCCCGGCCCUCCCCCUCAUCUCCUCCCGCCCCCUGCCCAUCAUCUUCAGCAUCUGCAUCACCAGGAGCAGGAGAGACAGCACCACCUCCAGCAGAUGCAUUACCAGCAAGAGAAAGAGAGAUUCCGCCAGCAGGAGACUAGAUAUUCGGAGGGGGUGCAGGAGGAGGGGGGGUUGAGGAUGGGGCUCGUGGGGUUCAAUGAGAGGGUGAUGGCAGAGGCGAGAGCGACCCAGAGACAGUACCAGAUGGAGGGCUUUAAAACGUCCUCCCCGCGGUCCAUGUCCCCAGUUCGACUCCCGCCUCCUUCAGCCUCGCCCCGUGCCGCCUCCCCCCUCACCAUCCCCCAUACCCACACCCACACCCAUGAGAAGUCCCCCUGUCCCAUGUGUGGCAACCCUGAAUACUUGGAGUGACCUUGACCUGACUUUGACCUUGAUUUGACCUGAUUUUGACCGGUUUUUUUACCCUUUAAGUGAUUUUCUUGAGAUGACCUUUGUGUUUUGUUUUCGUUGUUGAUUUUUUGGACCUGUUUUGAAGUUCGUUUGACCUUGACUGUGACCUUGAACUGUGACCCCCUCUCCCCUCCGCUCAUCCUGACCUCAUCCUCUGCUCCCCUUCCCUCCUCCUCCUCCUCCUCCUCCUCCUCUUCCUUCCCGUUUCCAAAGCCUGCAUGACCUAACAGUGUGUUGUAGAGUAAAUACUAAAAACUAAUUGGAGUGUUUAGUCAUCUUUAUUAUUAGCGAGCGGCGUGUAAAUAGAUACCCGGCACCUCGUUUUCUCCCGUAGUCACGUUUUCUUUUUGUUUAGUCUCCCCGAAACUUGUUUUAGGCGAUACUAUGAUAAAAAAAUAGAGAGUUGGGUAUGUCCUGUUUGUACGCGUUGGUCCAAAUUGUACGCACGUCAGGAGUGAACUGUUAGAACAAGCCCGAAGAAGGAGAAACAGAACGCCAACAAAUAUGACUAAGAAGAACAAGAAUAUGAUGAUGAUUGUGAUGAAUAAGAACAAAAAGAACAACAAUAACAACAGCAAGAUGAAGAAAUAUAAAAAAAAUUGAUUACUAUUAUUACAACAUGAGCACAAAAAAACAAGAACAAAAACAAAAGAAAAAGAAGAAAAUGAAGAAAAGAACAAGAACGAGAAAAACUAAAGAAAGAAAAAUGAGUUGAAAUGUAAAGACAGAAGAACAAUAACAAGAAAAUUAACAAAAAAGAACAAAAAUACAAACAAGAAAAAGAACAAAAAAAAAAAGAAAACUGAAAAAAAUGAGUUAAAGUGUAAAGAUAAAAGAACAGUGAAAAGAAAAUUAACAAAAGCGAACAACACAAACAAGAAAAAGAGGAGGAGCAAAAAAAAACUAUAAAAUAAAUGACAAAGUACAAACAAUCAAUCAAAACUUUCCCAAAGAAACAAAUAAACAGUCUUCCUUUUUUAACAUACAGAUGAUUUGACAAGUUAACUAAAUACUGCUCGAUUUUCCUAAGAUUCAUUAAUGACCACGCUGCUAAUUAGAAACGUGUAUAUAAACAACCUAACAUACCUACCCUAAUAAUAAUAAUAAUAAUAAUAAUAAUAAUAAUAAUAAUAAUAAUAAUAAUAAUAACGAAAACAAAAAUAACAUAGUCCGCCUGUUAUACCCCAAGCUUUCCCUUCGCCACUUCCCAUUUUCCCUUGUUACCGUUUUCUAUUGAUAGCACAGAAAACGCUACAUGCCGAUUGAAAAGAAAACGGCACGAAUUAGUCUUCCCAUUUUCUCUUGACCAUAAACAAAACAAAGAAAACGCUGCGUGGUAUAAUCUUCCCAUUUUCUCUAGACCAUAAACUAAAGAAAACGCUGCGUCAUGCCGGCUUCCCGUUUUCUUUAGGCGAUAAACAGAACACGAAGCACGGCGCUGAGUUCCCGUUUUCCUCAGCCCGAUCACGUGACCUCUUAGGCUGGUGGGUGAGUGGAGUACUUCUUGAGACGAACGAAAACGACCUUCAAACGACCAAUGUCCCGUUUUCUUUCCUCUUGUGACGUCAAACUCGAGUCCGGAUUAACGAGAAAUGGAACAAAGAAUGAAGAAUGGUUCGAUAACAAAAAAAAAAAGGCGCAAGGUAGAUUUUACGAGGGAAAUAAGGCCUGAAUAGUUUGAUAAAGAAACACAUUAACAAAAAUUCGAGGUUAGAUUUGAGGACGACGCAUGAAGAAGUUUGAAGAGACAGGAGAGGGCAGAAAUAAUCCCUGAAUAGUUUGAUAAGACACACACACAAAGAAAUAUACGAGCCAGGUUUGCGGACAGAGAUAACGCCUGAGGAAUAGUUUGAUAAGACACACACCCAAAGAAAAUACACGAGGCAGGUUUGCGGACAGAGAUAACGCCUGAGGAAUAGUUUGAUAAGAUACACACCCAAAGAAAAUACACGAGCCAGGUUUGCGGACAGAGAUAACGCCUGAGGAAUAGUUUGAUAAGACACACACCCAAAGAAAAUACACGAGGCAGGUUUGCGGACAGAGAUAACGCCUGAGGAAUAGUUUGAAAAGACACAAAAUAAUAUAGACACACGAAGUAGGUUAUGAGAAGGGAAAGAGCAUCUGAGGGUUCGUUUCUAUGGCGACAGAUGUUUGAGAUGCUUCUUUUAUAUACAGUCUUGUGUAUACCCCCCUUUGUCAGGCUCCUUUGCCGCAGAAUUAAAUUAAAGAACUUAUGUAGAAAAAUAAGUAUGUAGAAAUAUGUAGAAUAAUAUUUUUAGACGUACAAUAAACAGUGGUACAGAAUUGUUGGACAGCAGACGCCAGUAAAAUAUGAAUGAGGAUUAGUUUCAAAACGGAACACAAAACAUAAGGACGAACGCCGGUUUAAUUUAAAGAGAAACUAAACAGAUUGAAAAAUAAAAAUAACCGACUUAAGAAGAUAAAUUAAACGUAUUACAAAUGAACAAUUGUUCGAUAAAUGAAACUAACAAGAAAAUAUUAAAAAAGUAUGGAAACUUAAUAUGAGAAGCUAAACAAAAUAGGAAUGAAGAAUAAGUUUAAAUACGGAAACUAAUUAAAAGCAUUAAAGAUAGUUUCAAAAAGGGCAGGUAAAAUAUAUGAUGAAAUACAACAACAACAAAAAGCUAAAUAAGAGAAAAAAUAAACAGAGCAUAAUUUCAAUAGAGCAAUUAAAGAAAAAUAAAGACAUUCCCUAUACAAGUUGAAAAUCCCUUAUCCAAAAUUCCUGGGACCAAGUGUUGCGGAUUUCGGAUGUUUUCGGAUCAAAAUAAGAAAAUACAGAUAAAAGAAAAUUAUAAUAGUUACUGUUAAUUUCGCACCUAAUGUUCAAUCCGUUUUCGUUUGGUUAGAAUUAUACCGUUAACCUAUGAGUAAAUAAACAACUAUUAUCAUCAAUCAACCAAUCAAUCAAUCAAUCACAUAGUCCAAUAAAAAAAUAAGUCAUCAAAUAAGUAAAUAAAUAAAAUGACGUUUGAGAAAUUACCUUGAACUUAGAACGAACAAAAAAAAGACAGCAAAAACAACAACAAUAACACUCACCAACCUCUCGACACAUAGAAGAACAGAAGGAAGAAGAAGAAGAACAACAAUAAUAAGAACAAGAACAGGAAGAACAAGAAGAAAAGAAAUGGAAAAAGAAUGAAAGAAUGAAACAACGAAAAGAAGAUGAUCAGGAUAAAGAAAGAAUAAGAAGAUAAGAGAACAAGAAGAAAAAGAACAAGAAGAACAAGAACAGGAAGAACAAGAAGAAAAUAAAAAUGGAAAAAGAAUGAAAGAAUGAAACAACGAAAAGAAGAUGAUCAGGAUAAAGAAAGAAUAAGAGAAUAUAAAAGAACAAGAAGAAAAAGAACAAGAACAACAAGAACAGGAAGAACAAGAAGAAAAGAAAUGGAAAAAGAAUGAAAGAAUGAAACAACGAAAAGAAGAUGAUCAGGAUAAAGAAAGAAUAAGAAGAAGAAGAUAAAAGAAGAAGAAAGAAGAAUCAAAACAAGAAGAAUAUAAUAACCACACUAAUGAUGAUGAUAAGAAGAAGAAAGAUCAAUAAUAAAAAGAAAAAGAAGAAGAAAACCUACGAACAUUAAGAAGAAGAAGAAGAAACAAAAGAUAACAAUGACACCAAUAAUAAUAAUAAUAAUAAUAAUAAUAAUAAUAAUAAUAAUAAUAAUAAUAAUAAUAAUAAUAAUAAUAAUAAUAAUAAUAAACCAAGACCACCACCACCACCACCACCACCACCACCACCAACAACAACAACAACAACAACAACAACAACAACAACAACAACAACAACAACAACAAGCAAGAUUCAACCCCCUUACCAACCCAACCAAAAAAGAGAAAAAAAAAGAAAAAAAAAAAAGCGUUCUACAUUAGCCCAACAAUAGUCAAAUCUUUUCCAAAUAGUUUCCAUGUCACCUGAGAACAACAAAAACAACAAGUGCACGAUUUACCUGUUUACCUGUCCCCGUAGAUGUUAAUUAGCGGAAGAUUAACGCUAGUAUUACCUGUAGUUAAGGUGUGCUAGGGGGCGUAACAUGUUGAGACUUGUUUGUAGAAUUGACGUGUAGAAAGGGGGAGAGAGAAGGGGGUGGAAAGAGAGAGAGAGAGAGAGAGAGAGAGAGAGAGAGAGAGAGAGAGAGAGAGAGAGAGAGAGAGAGAGAGAGAGAGAGAGA